rnacentral:rRNA from 1 species
UAGUCCACGCUGUAAACGAUGAUUACUGGAUGUGUGCGAUAGACAGCACGCGUCUGAGCGAAAGCGUUAAGUAAUCCACCUGGGGAGUACGAUCGCAAGAUUGAAACUCAAAGGAAUUGACGGGGGCCCGCACAAGCGGUGGAGCAUGUGGUUUAAUUCGAUGAUACGCGAGGAACCUUACCAGGGCUUAAAUGUAGGUUGCAUUAGCUAGAGAUAGCUAUUUCUUCGGACUACUUACAAGGUGCUGCAUGGUUGUCGUCAGCUCGUGCCGUGAGGUGUCAGGUUAAGUCCUAUAACGAGCGCAACCCCUAUUGUUAGUUACCAGCACUUAAAGGUGGGGACCCUAACAAGACUGCCGGUGCAAACCGUGAGGAAGGUGGGGAUGACGUCAAAUCAUCACGGCCCUUACGUCCUGGGCUACACACGUGCUACAAUGGUAGGUACAGAGAGCAGCCACUUGGCAACAAGGAGCGAAUCUAUAAAACCUAUCACAGUUCGGAUCGG